GGUAUCAUGUAUGCCUCACAUGAGAAGGAGGGACAGCCAAGAUAGAAACAGCUGUGACUUCGACCCCAUCUGCUUCUGGGCAGUUCAGCAAGCCUUUCUCAUUUUCUCCAUCAGGGACUGGCUUUAAUUUUGGGAUAAUCACACCAACACCGUCUUCUAAUUUCACUGCUGCACAAGGGGCAACACCCUCCACUAAAGAGUCAAGCCAGCUGGAUGCAUUCUCAUUUGGUGGGGGAAGCAAACCUUCUUAUGAGGCCAUUCCUGAAAGCUCACCUCCCUCAGGAAUCACAUCCGCAUCAAACACCACCCCAGGAGAACCUGCCACAUCUAGCAGCAGACCUGUGGCACCUUCUGGAACUGCUCUUUCCACUACCUCUAGUAAGCUGGAAACCCCACCGUCCAAGCUGGGAGAGCUUCUGUUUCCAAGUUCUUUGGCUGGAGAGACUCUGGGAAGUUUUUCAGGACUGCGUGUUGGCCAAGCAGAUGAUUCUACAAAGCCAACCAAUAAGGCUUCAUCCACAAGCCUAACUAGUACCCAGCCAACCAAGACGUCAGGCGUGCCCUCAGGGUUUAAU
rnacentral:sRNA from 1 species